GCAGGUCAGAGUGAGAGCCCUGAGUCUAGAAGCACAGGAUAUUUAUUGUAGUUGCAGUAAGCUUGGGGAAUUCCAUAUGGGUCAGCAAGUUAAUAUAUUAAAACCUGAAUUUCUGGUGUAAUCUGCAGGAGCUGAACAUGGAGACAAAACCACCUGACAAACAGGAUAGCUAAGUUAUCAGUUCUCUGAAGGAUGUCUUCAGUUAUCUACAUGUACCUUGACCCUGGUUUUGUAGCCUGAUUGACUGUAGUCUAGCUAGAGGAGGGGUGUUGCCAUAGGAUGCUUACUCAUGAAGACUCUUGUGAUUUUCCUCACGAAAUUGGAGCUUAGCCCCUGGUCUUGCACAAAAUGGAGGCUACAUAGGAGGCCUAAUAAUGGAGCUUCCGAUGGAAUCAGAAGGAUCGUUGCAAGCUGUUCCUCUCACCUCCAGGAACAGAAAACCAUGUGACAAACAGGAUAGCUAAGUUAUCUCUUCUCUGAAGGAUGUCUUCAGUUACCUAUAUGCACCUUGACCUUAGAUUGACAUCAAUGGACCCUACAAUGCUGGGAAUUUACAGAGGAUUUUCUUUAUAUAUUCAACUGCAUUAUAUUAGCUGACUAUAUGUGAAGUAAUUACUCAAGACCAGAGAAAGAAGCAAUUGAAAUAUGAAAUUGGAAUGCUGGUUUAUUGUGCCAAGAAAAGCUCCUUUCUCAACCUGUCACACUAAAGAAAAGAAACAAACAAAGAAACAAACAAACAACAAAUGAAAUUUUCAUAUCUUCUUACCCUUUACACGGGGGUGUCUUGUCUCCAUACUGGUUGAAAAUCACUCCCAAGUGUAUACUUCUAAGUUGCCAAAUUAAAACAUAAAGUUUCUAUGCUGGCUGCCAGUCAGGAAAGCACGAGGGGCAGUAAGGAUGGAGAAGAGCUCCAUGUAGAAUUUGUAUGGAACUCUCAGUAGACAAAGAACACAGAAUUACUGAAAAGGAAUGGGGCGUGCAAUAGCCCUCAAGCUGCAGGCAUCCUGGAGCUGCCACUGCAGCUCUCCCUGUCAGGAAGAGACAGUAGGUCUUGGAGGCUGCAAGGCAAGGCAGUUGGCACUGAGGACAGCAAGGUGUGCAGCAGCCUAGAGAUCUCUUGGAUUCUGCCACCAGAUGCCCUGCCUAGGCGGCUCUGCCCUGAGCUGCUGACAGUGAGUCUGUUCCAAGCUCCAGCGAGGGAGGCAUCUGCCCAUUUGGGGCUUCUCCUGUCCAAGGUAAAGAGCACCUGUGAGUCUAACCACCAGGCUCUGACGGGGGUCUUGUCUUUGUGGGGCUAAAAAGAGCCCCAACAAUCUGACCAAGGUAAUAGGAAGUUAAAGAAGUAAGAAGGACAGUGUAAGUCGGUAAGAAAGUUAGCAUAAGUGUGUAAGAAAGUGCAGAGGAAGAGAAACGAAGAAAGGCUAGAGGUCUGCAAAGAAGUGAGCUAAGACUGUAAGGGAGAGCAAAGCUUCAGCAAAUUCAGGAGAGAUGGAUGACAGUGGCAAAUAGAGAGGUUAACAGUAAGGAGAAGUGAAAAUAGAGAUGGAGAUUAGAGAGGUCUGAGAUGAGAAAGAUAACCUGAAUGAGAAAUAUUUAGAGUAGGAACCACUAAGUAAGAGACAGACAAUAGAAGAGUUGAGGAAACACGAGGCUGACAAAGUCAGAGACCAGAGUCAGAAUCAGAGAUGUGCCGUGAGACAAAAGGAUAAACCAGGGUAGAGGUGAACUAUGAGAGAUGAGUGACAGUAUAUGGACGUGAUAAUUAGAUAACAUCCAAAGGAAGCAAAGACAAGGAGGAGAAACAAAUAUAUAUAUAUGGAGAGAGAGAGAGUUAAAGUUCAAAUGUCUGCCCUUGCUCAUGGUAUCUGUGAUGAAAAGAAGAACGGGCUACAGUAUUCCUACUGUAAGACUUGCACAUCUCUGGAGUCCCGUGGAGCUAUUAUGUGGAUCUAUGAAUGAGUUGGUACCUAGGUGCUGCUAUAUAAACUCAGGUUCUCUCGCUUGUGCAGAUAAGUUGCUAAGUAGUAGAGACUCCAGUUUCUGGCCUCAGAGAAACACAGAGGCAGGUCAGUGACAGUAGCAAAGUAACUUAGACAUAGGAGGAAGAUAAAAAUGGAGCUGAGACGAAGGGAACAGACAACCAUGGAACAUGAGAACCAUCACAUGUGAGAAAGCACAGCCUCAGAACACAGUAAGGCACUGGACAGAUGAACUACUUCAUUCACCCAGAAAUCAGCAGGAAUAUUCAGCUUUGGUUUUAAAUGUUUUCAUGAUCCCCCAAGGAGCUGGAGUUUGGAAUUGAAAUGCUAAGACAAAAACUGGGGCUUAUAGAUGGUAAACUUCUAGUGAAAUGAGAAAACAAGAAAGUUUUCUCAAGUUAUAAGAACAAGGAAGGUUUGACAGGUUUUAAAUAAAAUUGCCCACACACAGACUG
rnacentral:lncRNA from 1 species